rnacentral:rRNA from 1 species
AAUGAACGCUGGCGGCGUGCCUAACACAUGCAAGUCGAACGAGAAAGUUCUUCGGAACGAGUAUAGUGGCGAACGGGUGAGUACAACAUAAGAAUCUACCAUUCAGUGAGGAAUACCCUCGAGAAAUCGAGGUUAAUACUGCAUACGUCCCUACGGGGAGAAAGGUGGCCUCUUGCUACCGCUGAAUGAUGAGCUUGUGCGCUAUUAGCUAGUUGGUGAGGUAAAGGCUCACCAAGGCUUUGAUGGCUAACCGGCCUGAGAGGGUGGUCGGUCACAUUGGGACUGAGAUACGGCCCAGACUCCUACGGGUGGCAG